CACGUAGGCGGCUUCUUAAGUCAGGGGUGAAAUCCUGGAGCUCAACUCCAGAACUGCCUUUGAUACUGAGAAGCUUGAGUCCGGGAGAGGUGAGUGGAACUGCGAGUGUAGAGGUGAAAUUCGUAGAUAUUCGCAAGAACACCAGUGGCGAAGGCGGCUCACUGGCCCGGUACUGACGCUGAGGUGCGAAAGCGUGGGGAGCAAACA
rnacentral:rRNA from 1 species